UUUCCCUCAGGAUAGCUGGCGCUCGAGAUUCAGUCUCAUCCGGUAAAGCGAAUGAUUAGAGGCCUUGGGGCCGAAACGACCUCAACCUAUUCUCAAACUUUAAAUGGGUGAGAAGUCUGGCUUGCAUGACUGAAGCCCGGCUAGCUCAGUUGGUAGAGCACCA
rfam:Stegodyphus mimosarum contig52953, whole genome shotgun sequence.